rnacentral:sRNA from 1 species
AGUCGUUGGAUUGAUCUGGGUGCCAUAUCUGAUAUGCCAAUGAUCACCAGGAUCGAUGGGCUAAUCUGGUUGGCUAAGUGCAAGUCUCCAUCUAUCUCACCGUGCAAUGAAAGUCCCUCCUGAAGUUGUGCUUUGGUCAAAAACAACAUCCCAGAGUAAGUCAAGGCUAAAUCAGUUAAUGAGCUCCAUUAUGUUAGUAAAGGAAAGCACUUAACCAUAGUUACCAGCUCUGCACACUCACCGAUUCCAGGAAAGGGGGUUGUUGUG